CUUUUAGAUUCAUAUAUUUAAUACCCAUAUAUUUAUCCGUUUCGUUUUCUUUUCGAUAUUAGUUAGUUUAUUGUUAAGAAUAUAUAUUAUUUGUUAGUUUAUUCGUUAUGGAAAUCGAAUGUAGAAAAACUGAUUAAGAAAGACAUAA